GAGGAAGAAGUUUACCUCGCUGGUUUUCGGAGCAGUCGCAGUCGUUUCAGGCGAGGCGGGUUUGUGCGGGAAGCAGCCACGCAUCUUUUACGAUUGAGCAGCCCUUUCAAACCCCAUACAGGCAAGACGAUUCGGUUUGAAUUACCCCCUCGCGUUUGUGUGCGGACUUGUGAAGGCAGGUAGGCUCCGUCGUAGCCGCGAUAUAAACUGUUUUCAGGAAGGCUGCAAGGCCUCGCGGGAGAAUGGCCAUGAAUUACGGUAGGCCUCCGCCAGACGUCGACGGCAUGACUUCCCUCAAAGUGGACAACUUAACGUACCGAACCUCGCCCGAGACCCUGAGACGCGUGUUCGAGAAGUACGGCCGGGUCGGGGACGUGUACAUCCCCCGGGACCGCUACACGAAGGAGAGCCGCGGAUUCGCGUUUGUGCGCUUCCACGACAAAAGGGACGCCGAGGACGCGAUGGACGCCAUGGACGGCGCGCUCCUCGAUGGGCGGGAGCUGCGGGUCCAGAUGGCCCGGUACGGAAGACCCCCGGAUUCCCACCACGGGAGCGGCGGCGGCGGCGGUGGUGGAGGGCGGCGAGGAGGGCCGACCAGGAGGCAUGGCGGCCAUGGACGCCGAAGCAGAAGCUCUUCCCCCAGUCCGAGACACAGAAGACGCAGCCGAUCCCGCAGCAGGAGCCGCUCUCGUUCCCGAAGCCGGUCCCGCUACAGCAGAUCCAGGUCCCGGUCCUACUCCCGAUCAAAGUCUCAUUCUCCCAGGAACAAGAAGGCCGCUGCCAAGUCCCCAUCUCGUUCCAGAUCUAGAUCCAGGGGCCAGUCCAAAUCCAAGUCAAAGUCUAAAUCCAAAUCCAAGUCCAAGUCCAAGUCCAGAUCCAGAAGCCGCACCCCUUCCUCCAAAAGAGGGUCCCGGUCAAUGUCUAAAAGCCCACCGAAGACGGCGGCAGAAAAUGGAGGCGAAACCCCGUAGAGCUCAGCAUGUCAGCAGGAGCUGCGGCAUCCUGUUUGCUAAAGUGGAGUUUGAGCAGAGCUGAGGCAGUAUGAGCAGUUAGAAGGUGUGUGGUGAGCUGCCCACGGGCCGCCUGCUGCUGGUGAGGGUUUCUGUGCGGCAGGGUGGAGGCAGUCAGAGUUGGGGUUUGGUGUUGAGGUACGUCUGUCUGUCCGCCCACUGGACAUAAAGCUGUCCUCCAGGACGGGGGGCGCUGAGUUUCCAGGUGAAGACUUCAGAACGUCAUGUUCCAGACUGGAUCCCACGCGAGCAACAGUGUCCUGCUGUCAAAGGUUAUUAUUGUGUCUUCCAUGCUUUGCUUUGUUUUAAUUAAUUUGGCCACAGAAGGGCUUUUUGUUUUGGUUUUUUUUUUGUUCCAUUUCACUGAUGUGCUGUGAUUUUUAUUUGUUCUUCAUGAGAUGUUUAUGAUUUUAAUAAUCCGGUCAAUCUGUUCUGACCUGCUUUUUGUAACGAUCACAUGGGAUAAUAAACAUAUAUAAAGUAAUGUUCACGUUUAGAUUGCUCCCCUUUUUAAGUUCUUCUCCACAAGGCCUGCAUCAAGACGCGAGAGAACGCGGUCUGGCUUUCUUUGGCUUUGCUAAACCUCACAUUGAUCCUGAAUAAUCGAUGGCACACGACUUAAACAAUUAUCAAAGUAGUGACUGAUGACUAUCUUGUGAUGCUAAUAAAUAAAUCAUUAGACUGACUGAGGUCUUGUUGAUACCAGUACUGCUUUAUGGUUAUUUGUGUUAUUGUCCAUGUCACGCUGUAUCCUGGUGAGUUAAAGCCAAAGUUCGCCGGCUAACCGAUUUAAUCUCGCUUCAUGAUACAGGCCUGUGGCAUUAACACACAAAGUCAGGACAGUUGGACACAUCAGGGCUCUUUGUUUGUUCAGUAUGAGAUUUAAAUUAAAAAAAAACAUCCACACCAGCUUUUUACCAACUUUGCUCAUAUUACCGUUAUCGCAUAAUGAACAUUUUGUUAAACUGAAGUAAUCCCUCAGACGUCAUGUUAUCUGCCUCCUUGCAGUCUUUAUAAUUCCCGCAGCUCAGGGUGUCUUUUUGUUGGACGGGGACAGCAGAUCAUUUUAACUCCUGUGUCUAAACGUGUUCAGUGUACCUGCAUAUGGACCCGUGAUGUAACAGUCAGAGGAUUUUAAGGCAUCUGCUUGAAUGUUUAAUUUUACAGGACUCUGGUGUUUUUGUUCCUUAUGAAUAUUAUUUUUUAUCCUAAUCCUGCUUGUAUUUUUUUAUUUUUUUGUGCACUAGGCGCAGUUGUGUAGCAGUUGAGUAUUGCUGGUUAGCUGUUAAGGUGGCGCGUUGCUCUGCUGAGUGCUUGGAUGUGUCCAGUAUUCUCCAGAUUGCUCCUGUGACUACCAGUGGUACGCUUGCUACAGUCUCACCCUUUGUACAAUGCCCCCCACCCCCCCACCCUUCAUUAAAGAUUUUGAUGUUUUGUCUA